rnacentral:rRNA from 1 species
UACGUAGGGUGCAAGCGUUAAUCGGAAUUACUGGGCGUAAAGCGUGCGCAGGCGGUUAUGUAAGACAGGUGUGAAAUCCCCGGGCUUAACCUGGGAACUGCAUUUGUGACUGCAUAGCUAGAGUACGGUAGAGGGGGAUGGAAUUCCGCGUGUAGCAGUGAAAUGCGUAGAUAUGCGGAGGAACACCGAUGGCGAAGGCAAUCCCCUGGGCCAAUACUGACGCUCAUGCACGAAAGCGUGGGGAGCAAACAGG